rnacentral:rRNA from 1 species
AGGACGAACGCUGGCGGCGCGCCUAAUACAUGCAAGUCGAGCGAGAACCGGGGCUUCGGCCCCCGGGGAGAGCGGCGAACGGGUGCGUAUCACGUGAGCAACCUGCCUCGGAGACCGGAAUAACUCGAGGAAACUCGGGCUAAUGCCGGAUGCCCUCGGUGGACCGCAUGGGUCCGGCGAGGAAAUGGAUUCCGCUCCGAGAUGGGCUCGCGGCCUAUCAGCUUGUGGUGGGUAACGCCUACAGGCAACGACGGUAGCUGGUCUGAGAGGACGAUCAGCCACACUGGACUGACGACACGGCCCAGACUCCGUACGGGAGGCCAGCAGUACGGGAAUC